GAUGAACGCUGGCGGCGUGCCUAAUACAUGCAAGUCGAGCGAAUGGAUUGAGAGCUUGCUCUUAUGAAGUUAGCGGCGGACGGGUGAGUAACACGUGGGUAACCUGCACAUAAGACUGGGAUAACUCCGGGAAACCGGGGCUAAUACCGGAUAACAUUUUGAACCGCAUGGUUCGAAAUUGAAUGGCGGCUUCGGCUGUCACUUAUGGAUGGACCCGCGUCGCAUUAGCUAGUUGGUGAGGUAACGGCUCACCAAGGCAACGAUGCGUAGCCGACCUGAGAGGGUGAUCGGCCACACUGGGACUGAGACACGGCCCAGACUCCUACGGGAGGCAGCAGUAGGGAAUCUUCCGCAAUGGACGAAAGUCUGACGGAGCAACGCCGCGUGAGUGAUGAAGGCUUUCGGGUCGUAAAACUCUGUUGUUAGGGAAGAACAAGUGCUAGUUGAAUAAGCUGGCACCUUGACGGUACCUAACCAGAAAGCCACGGCUAACUACGUGCCAGCCGCCGCUGUAA
rnacentral:rRNA from 1 species